GUAGGGUGCAAGCGUUAUCCGGAAUCAUUGGGCGUAAAGAGCUCGUAGGCGGUUCAGCAAGUCGGCUGUGAAAUUCCGAGGCUCAACCUCGGAACUGCAGUCGAUACUGUUGUGACUCGAGUCCGGUAGAGGAGAAUGGAAUUCCCGGUGUAGCGGUGAAAUGCGCAGAUAUCGGGAGGAACACCAGUAGCGAAGGCGGUUCUCUGGGCCGGCACUGACGCUGAGGAGCGAAAGCGUGGGGUAGCAAACAGGAUUAGAUACCCUGGUAGUCCACGCCGUAAACGUUGAUACUAGGUGUGGCGUUCCGACCACGGUCGCCGUGCCGAAGCUAACGCAUUAAGUAUCCCCGCCUGGGAGUACGGCCGCAAGGCUA
rnacentral:rRNA from 1 species